UCUUUGCUCUCAUCGUUUUCUUCUUUGAGAGGCGCUUGGUUAAUCCGACGAAAUCGAGUUCGAGAGAAGAAUCAAUCAAUCACUUGCGAGGAGAGAUCCACAGUCUCUAGAUAAGUUCUCUUCGCUUAUUUUAUAUGAGUUUCUAGAUCUUUCUUUACUUUUUUUAUUUUCCCAUUUUAGGGUUUUCAAUUUCGAUUGUAUUGACUCUGUUUUGUUCUUUUCAUCCUUUAGCGAUGAUCAAUCACUUCCCAGUGCCCAAGAAUUCGCCAUCUCUAGUCGGGAUAAUCCGGGGGAUGAAGUUGAUCAAGCCUUUUGCCCGAGGGUGUUCAUCACUCCAAGCGUUAUGGAAUUAUCAUGUUUGACAUGACGAGUGUCGUGGAGGCUCGUGGUUCAACAGUCAAAUUCUCCCCUUCUACUUUGAUUUCUUCUGAUUGAUCUCUCUAUAUUCAGGUUUCUAUCUUUGUGGGUGUUGUUUCGUGCUCUGUCAAGGUUGUGGAUGAUGAUGGAUCAGGCGUUUCUAGAGAUUAUUUGGUUUUGUUGGGAAAAAGAUACAAAAAAAAUUUUGGAUUCCGUGGAGAGGCUUUAUCUUUAAUAUCAUAUGUCUCGUUACUGGAAAUCUGGACAAAAGCUAUUGGGAAGCCUAAUGGUUAUCGAAAGGUUAUGAAGGUAUGGGAUGACUUUGAUGCUACUCAAUACUCCUACAUAGUUUGUGUGGCGUUGGUUAUAGUUAUGGUUUUAAAAUAAAAAUCUUACUUUCUUUGAUUUUAGUUUUUUCGGUUAUUGGUUUUCAAUUUUGUGUCUAUUGGGUUUCAAAAUCGUUUACUUUGUCUAUAGUUAUGUGUGUGUUCCUUACAGGGUUUUAUAACUUAGAAAGACGAUUGUUUUGUUUCGUUAGGAUAAUUCUCUUUCAGUUUUGUGUCUUUGGUUUCCCACGGUUUGGUUUUCCUUAUGUACUAUAAGUUUUUGAUUGCUUGCCAAUUAACUAGUCUCACGUUCAAUCAUAUGAUGACCUAGUCAUAACUACAAUUGUUAUGUAUUGGUAUGCAAUACUCUUUGUCUUGUUUCAAUAGAGGUAAUCUAAAUUACCUCUCUGCUUGUCCCUGUCCCUACAAUGCAUACAUGUUCCUAGUCACCUGAGCAAAAAAUACAAAUGCCUCGGUUUGGCUGAGGUAAUCUAAAUUACCUCUCUGCCUGUCCUUGUCCCUAUCGGUUUGAUUGUCCUUGUCCUUUGAAUGCUUACGGGUUCUAGUCACCUGAGCAAAGAAACAAAUGCAUCGGUUUAGCAGAGGUAAUUUAAAUUACCUCUCUGCUUGUCCAUGUCCCUAUCGGUUUAAUUGUCCCUGUCCCUUGAUGCUUACUGGUCCCUAGUCACCUGAGCAAAUAAACAAAUGCCUCGGUUUAGCUGAGGUAAUUUAAAUUACCUCUCUGUUUGGCCAUGUCCCUAUCAGUUUGAUUGUCCAUGUCCCUUGAUGCAUAUGGGUUCCUAGUCACCUGAGCAAACAAACAAAUGCCUCGGUUUGGCUGAGGUAAUUUAAAUUACCUCUCUGCUUGUCCUUGUCCCUUGAAAGCAUUCAGAUUCCUAUUCACCUGAGCAAAAACUACAAAUGCCUCGGUUUGGCUGAGGUAAUUUAAUUACCUCUCUGCUUGUCCCUGUUCCUAUGGGUUUGAUUGUCCCUGUCCCUUGAAAGUAUUCAGGUUCCUAGUCACUUGAGAAAAGAAACAAAUGCCUCGGUCUCUGCUUUUCCCUGUCCCUUAAAAGUAUUCAGGUUCCUAGUCAACUGAGCAAAGAAACAAAUGCCUCGGUUUGGCUGAGGUAAUCUAAAUUACCUCUCUGCUUGUCCUUGUCCCUAUCGGUUUGAUUGUCCUUGUCCCUUGAAAGUAUAUAGGUUCCUAGUCACCUGAGCAAAGAAACAAAUGCAUCGGUCUCUGCUUGUCCAUGUCCCUUGAAAGUAUUCAAGUUUCUAGUCACUUGAACAAAGAAACAAUGCCUCGGUCUCUGCUUGUCCCUGUCCCUUGAAAGUAUUCAGAUUCCUAGUCACCUGAGCAAAGAAACAAAUGCCUCGGUUUGGCUGAGGUAAUCUAAAUUACUCUCUGUUUGUCCAUGUCCCUUGAAUGUAUUGAUGUUCCUAGUCACCUGAGCAAAAAACAAAUGCCUCAGUUUGGCUGAGGUAAUUUAAAUUACCUCUCUGCUUGUCCAUGUCCCUAGAAUACAUUCAGGUUCCUAUUCACCUGAGCAAAAAAUACAAAUGCUUUGGUUUGGCUGAGGUAAUUUAAAUUACCUCUCUGCUUGUCACUGUCCCUAUCGGUUUGAUUGUCCCUGUCUCUUGAAAGUAUUCAGGUUCCUAGUCACCUGAGAAAAUAAACAAAUGCCUCGGUCUCUGCUUUUCCCUGUCCCUUGAAAGUAUUCAGGUUCCUAGUCACCUGAGCAAAGAAACAAAUGCCUCGGUCUCUGCUUGUCCCUGUCCCUUGAAAGUAUUCGGGUUCCUAGUCACCUGAGCAAAGAAACAAAUGCCUUGGUUUGGCUGAGGUAAUCUAAAUUACCUCUCUGCUUGUCCUUAUCCCUAUCGGUUUGAUUGUCCCUGUCCAUUGAAAGUAUUCAGGUUCCUAGUCACCUGAGCAAAGAAACAAAUGCAUCGGUCUCUGCUUGUCCCUGUCGCUUGAAAGUAUUCAGGUUCCUAGUCACCUGAACAAAGAAACGAAUGCCUCGGUCUCUGCUUGUCCCUUUCCCUUGAAAGUAUUCAGGUUCCUAGUCACCUGAACAAAGAAACGGAUCCCUUAGUCUCUGCUUGUCCAUGUCCCUUGAAAGUAUUCAGGUUUCUAGUCACCUGAGCAAAGAAACAAAUGCCUCGGUUUGGCUGAGGUAAUCUAAAUUACCUCUCUGUUUGUCCAUGUCCCUUGAAUGUAUUCAGGUUCCUAGUCACCUGAGCAAAGAAACAAAUGCCUUGGUUUGGCUGGGGUAAUUUAAAUUACCUCUCUGCUUGUCCCUGUCCCUAGAAUGCAUUCAGGUUCCUAGUCACCUGAACAAAGAAACAAAUGCCUCGGUAAGGUGGAGGUAAUCUAAAUUACCUUGAUGAUUGUCUUUGUCCCUAAAAUGCAUAUAUUAUUCGGGUUCCUAGUCACUUGAUGCUAAAAGCAAAUGUCUGUGAUCUCUGAUUAGCAAAUGAAGCAGUCCCAAUUCUUUUAACUGCUUGGGUUGAACUAAAAACAAAUGCCUUAGUGUAGAAGUAUGACAUCCAUGGAGCAUGCAUGAUCACGCUUACAUUUAAAUUGAGGUAUGUGAUUUUCUUGAUAACGUCUGAAAAUCAGGUAUGUGAAUUUCUAUUUGUUAAAUAUAUGUUUAUUACUUGAUUCAGUUUUGUUAUCUCUUAGGGUUAAUAUUUUCAGUUGUUUAUCGAAUUCAUUACUGUGUGUACACAUUCUCGACAAGUAGCAAACAAACUUACAUAUGUCUUCUAACAUCGCCUUUUUAUGUUUCUUUGCAUGCAGUUAUUCUCGGGUUCUGAAGAUCGUCAUAAGAGUCUCAGUCAGUGAAGGACACCGACGGAAAUCCAGGUAGCGACCGUAACCAAUUAAACAGUUAGUUAACUCUCUCAUGUAAAAUUAUUUCAGAAAUCUCAUGUGUUUGUUCUUUCCAAGAUUUAAUCUAAUUCACCAAGUGGUUUGGUUCACUAUUUAUCUUGGUCUGCAAUCUUUGGAUGCAGUGUUCUAAAGGUGCAGCUUUUAUAGAAUAGUGAUUGAGAAGAUGGUUCAAACAACACUAGACAUAUGGAGACAAUACAAAUCCUAAUAGUUAAAGCUUCUUCCUUUAUUCCAUUCUUUUCUCUGUUUCUUGACGAGGUUCAAUAAGAAAGAAAGAAAAUAAUCUGAAUAAGGAAGAUAAGAACCAGACAUAACCUUGGCUAUGAUAUUUGUCUGGGUUAAAGUUUCCAAUGUGAAACCUUUAAUAUCCUCAUUACAAGAAAUAGAGACGAAAGCAUCUAAUACUCUAACUCUAAGAAUCAAUUUAUGAAUCGAUGAACUAAACUAACACAUCGAGAUUCUUAUAUACAGUCUAACAAUCAAUCAAUCAAUGAACUAAACCAACAAAUGCAGAUUCUUCAACAAUUAUUCGAUGAACUCCAAAUUUUAAACCAAACAACAAGAUAAAAGAGACUAACCUUUGAAUGAGUCUUAGACGUCUUGGAAAGCGGAGAGCCCGAAGAUGAAGAGAAGAAAUUUAGAGAAUCCAGGUUGAUAGAUUGUGAAUUGCAGAAUUUAUGUAGGAAAAAAAAAUCUCCAACAGAUAUAGGUAAUAAAGAAGAACUUAUCAACACAGGAUUCUUAACAAUCUCAAUUUCGAUUCUUAAUGGGGGGGGGGAUACGUAGAUAUAUACAUAGGUUUGGAUAUAUAUGGGUACUAAUUGGGUAUCGGGUAUUACCCGAUCCAAACCGAUACCCAAAAAUAUAUACAUUCAAGAUCCAACUAAUAUAUUGUACUAGAUAAGGAUCUGUCCGAUGUG